rnacentral:lncRNA from 1 species
UGCCAAUCCUCUCCAGAGAUGUCGGGCUAAAAUUUAAAGCAGUGAACGCGUCUUUGGCGUGCUUGACAUAGUCAUCGAACGUGACUUUAUUAAUUUGAGGGCUGGAUGUAUGACAAAGAGUGUUUCGUAAAAGACGAAGUUGAUCAAUGGCAAGUGCAAUCGUCUCAUUUUCAUCUCCGCACGAGCUUCUCACUGUAGAGUGAAAUGGAGCAGGGGCUGGCUUUCGUCCUUUUAAAUACAUUUCUCCGAGCGUCUUUUUCUUUCCUGUGCUGUCUGGUAGCGCAAAUGUUCUUGAAUACAGAGUGGCUUGAAAUAGUGCAGUGCAGUCCCACUCUUUAAAUGAGUUGUUCGUGGGGAUUUUUGUGUUUGGAGCCUCAUUGUUGUGGAGAAUAUUGCGUACAAAAGGCGAGUCAUCCCAAACUGUGGAACUUGGUGCUAGUCUGGUGUCCCACAUGUCUACAAAUAUGCUACGUAAAGGAUCUGAGAAUUCCUUUAGGACAAUCGACGCAAACUUGAAGUAGUUCAGCUCUUCAUCAGAAUACGGCUGCACGGACAUAUUGGCUGACUUUC